GCGAGUAUGGUGAAGUGGUUAACACACCUGGCUGUGAACCAGGCAUUCGUCAGUUCGAUCCUGAUUACUCGCCCCA
rnacentral:tRNA from 1 species